GGGUGUUAGGUCUAGUGGUAUGAUUUUCGCUUUGGGUGCGAGAGGUUGUGAGUUUGAUUUUCGCAACACCCC
rfam:Ipomoea nil DNA, scaffold: scaffold3056, cultivar: Tokyo-kokei standard.